rnacentral:tRNA from 1 species
GCCCCUGUGGCUCAGUGGUAGAGCGCCUGACUACGAAUUUAGGGUUUUUACUCGUCUGUUCGAAUCAGGAGGCCCAGGUUUCGAACACCUGCUGGGGUU